rnacentral:rRNA from 1 species
UGGGCCGGGCCCCGUGCUUACACAUGCAAGUCGAACGGAAAGGCCCUUCGGGGUACUCGAGUGGCGAACGGGUGAGUAACACGUGGGUGAUCUGCCCUGCACUUUGGGAUAAGCCUGGGAAACUGGGUCUAAUACCGAAUAGGAUCAUGCUCUUCAUGGGGUGUGGUGGAAAGCUUUUGCGGUGUGGGAUGGGCCCGCGGCCUAUCAGCUUGUUGGUGGGGUAAUGGCCUACCAAGGCGACGACGGGUAGCCGGCCUGAGAGGGUGACCGGCCACACUGGGACUGAGAUACGGCCCAGACUCCUACGGGAGGCAGCAGUGGGGAAUAUUGCACAAUGGGCGCAAGCCUGAUGCAGCGACGCCGCGUGAGGGAUGACGGCCUUCGGGUUGUAAACCUCUUUCACCAGGGACGAAGCGCAAGUGACGGUACCUGGAGAAGAAGCACCGGCCAACUACGUGCCAGCAGCCGCGGUAAUACGUAGGGUGCGAGCGUUGUCCGGAAUUACUGGGCGUAAAGAGCUCGUAGGUGGUUUGUCGCGUUGUUCGUGAAAACUCACAACUCAAUUGUGGGCGUGCGGGCGAUACGGGCAGACUAGAGUACUGCAGGGGAGACUGGAAUUCCUGGUGUAGCGGUGGAAUGCGCAGAUAUCAGGAGGAACACCGGUGGCGAAGGCGGGUCUCUGGGCAGUAACUGACGCUGAGGAGCGAAAGCGUGGGGAGCGAACAGGAUUAGAUACCCUGGUAGUCCACGCCGUAAACGGUGGGUACUAGGUGUGGGUUCCUUCCUUGGGAUCCGUGCCGUAGCUAACGCAUUAAGUACCCCGCCUGGGGAGUACGGCCGCAAGGCUAAAACUCAAAGGAAUUGACGGGGGCCCGCACAAGCGGCGGAGCAUGUGGAUUAAUUCGAUGCAACGCGAAGAACCUUACCUGGGUUUGACAUGCACAGGACGCCGGCAGAGAUGUCGGUUCCCUUGUGGCCUGUGUGCAGGUGGUGCAUGGCUGUCGUCAGCUCGUGUCGUGAGAUGUUGGGUUAAGUCCCGCAACGAGCGCAACCCUUGUCCUAUGUUGCCAGCGGGUUAUGCCGGGGACUCGUAGGAGACUGCCGGGGUCAACUCGGAGGAAGGUGGGGAUGACGUCAAGUCAUCAUGCCCCUUAUGUCCAGGGCUUCACACAUGCUACAAUGGCCGGUACAAAGGGCUGCGAUGCCGUGAGGUGGAGCGAAUCCUUUCAAAGCCGGUCUCAGUUCGGAUCGGGGUCUGCAACUCGACCCCGUGAAGUCGGAGUCGCUAGUAAUCGCAGAUCAGCAACGCUGCGGAAUCGCUCA